GGAGAGAGAGAAAGGGAGACCAAAGAGCUCACACUCAAAGAAAGGCAGAUGAAGAGAAGAAGAAGAAGAAGAAAGAGGGUUUCAUGCGUUUUCAUCAUGGGAGCCUCGCCAAGCCAACUUAACUACGUAACACAAUGCCCGAUCCCUCAGCUAACGAUGAGUAGUACGAAAGCAAUAUCGACGAGGGGACUUUUAGGAGUUGGAUUUUGGGAGCUUGGGGUAGCGUUCUUCGAAUGGAAGGACGGCCUUGUCAUCCCCCAUUCAUGAUGGUUUUGGGGUGUGACAGUAAACCCAAUGCAUGUGUGCGAAAGAGCAUGCCUAGACAAGUUCAACCUUAGGAGAUUUUGGAGGUAAAUUACAAUAUUUGAAUAAAUGAUACUAACUUGUCAUAUAUAAUUAAUUAAUUAA